rnacentral:misc_RNA from 1 species
AGCAGCCGCGGUAAUUCCAGCUCCAAUAGCGUAUAUUAAAGUUGCUGCAGUUAAAAGCUCGUAGUUGAAUUUCGGGACCAUCAUGUCGGUCGUGCCUCGGUACGUACUGGCAUUGUUGGUUUCUACCUUCUGACGAACCAUGAUGUCAUUUAUUUGGUGUCGUGGGAAAUCAGGACUGUUACUUUGAAAAAUUAGAGUGUUUAAAGCAGGCUCACGCUUGAAUACAUUAGCAUGGAAUAAUGAAAUAGGACGUUUGAUUCUAUUUUGUUGGUUUUCUAGGAUCGACGUAAUGAUUAAUAGGGAUAGUUGGGGGCAUUAGUAUUCAAUUGUCAGAGGUGAAAUUCUUGGAUUUAUUGAAGACUAACUACUGCGAAAGCAUUUGCCAAGGAUGUUUUCAUUAAUCAAGAACGAAAGUUAGGGGAUCGAAGACGAUCAGAUACCGUCGUAGUCUUAACCAUAAACUAUGCCGACUAGGGAUCGGAUGAUGUUAAUUUUUAUGACUCAUUC